AGGAUAAACGCUGGCGGCGUGCCUAACACAUGCAAGUCGAACGCGCUUACUAUCCGCGAGGACGGUGAGCGAGUGGCGGACGGGUGAGGAACACGUGGGUGACCUACCUUUCAGUGAGGGAUACCGGCGAGAAAUUGCCGACAAGACCGCAUACGCUUCUCUUUUCAAGGGGGAGAAGGAAAGCUUUUCGCAAGAGAGGCGCUGGGAGAUGGGCCUGCGGCCGAUUAGCUAGCUGGUGGGGUAAUGGCCUACCAGGGCGACGAUCGGUAGCUGGUCUGAGAGGACGAUCAGCCACACUGGGAUUGAGAACGGCCCAGACUCCUACGGGGGGCAGCAGUGAGGAAUUUUUCGGCAAUGGGGGCAACCCGUGACCGAGCAACGCCGCGUGCAGGACGACGGCCUUCGGGUUGUAAACCCCUUUCACCAGGAACGAAUUCAGACGGUACCUGGGAAGAAGCGCCGGCUAACUACGUGCCAGCAGCCGCGGUAA
rnacentral:rRNA from 1 species